AGGGUUUGAUCAUGGCUCAGAACGUACGCUGGCGGCACGCCUAACACAUGCAAGUCGAACGAAGUAGCAAUACUUAGUGGCAGACGGGUGAGUAACAUGUAGGUAUCUGCCCUUUGGCCUGGAAUAACACGAGGAAACUUGUGCUAAUACCGGAUAAGUCUUUACGGAGAAAGCUUUAUGCACCAUUGGAUGAGCCUGCACUUGAUUAGUUUGUUGGUGGGGUAAUGGCCUACCAAGACUGUGAUCAAUAGCUGAUUUGAGAGGAUGAUCAGCCACAUUGGGACUGAGACACGGCCCAAACUCCUACGGGAGGCAGCAGUGGGGAAUCUUGCACAAUGGAGGAAACUCUGAUGCAGCGAUGCCGCGUGAGUGAAGAAGGCCUUUGGGUUGUAAAGCUCUUUCGUCGGGGAAGAAAAUGACUGUACCCGAAUAAGAAGGUCCGGCUAACUUCGUGCCAGCAGCCGCGGUAAUACGAAGGGACCUAGCGUAGUUCGGAAUUACUGGGCUUAAAGAGUUCGUAGGUGGUUGAAAUAGUUGGUGGUGAAAUCCCAGAGCUUAACUCUGGAACUGCCAUCAAAACUUUUCAGCUAGAGUAUGAUAGAGGAAAGCAGAAUUUCUAGUGUAGAGGUGAAAUUCGUAGAUAUUAGAAAGAAUACCAAUUGCGAAGGCAGCUUUCUGGAUCAUUACUGACACUGAGGAACGAAAGCAUGGGUAGCGAAGAGGAUUAGAUACCCUCGUAGUCCAUGCCGUAAACGAUGUGUGUUAGACGUUGGAAAUUUAUUUUCAGUGUCGCAGCGAAAGCGAUAAACACACCGCCUGGGGAGUACGACCGCAAGGUUAAAACUCAAAUGAAUUGACGGGGACCCGCACAAGUAGUGGAGCAUGUGGUUUAAUUCGAAGAUACGCGCAGAACCUUACCAACACUUGACAUGUUCGUCGCGACUUUAAGAGAUUAAAGUUUUCGGUUCGGCCGGACGAAACACAGGUGCUGCAUGGCUGUCGUCAGCUCGUGUCGUGAGAUGUUGGGUUAAGUCCCGCAACGAGCGCAACCCUCACUUUUAGUUGCCAUCAUUAAGUUGGGCACUCUGAAAGAACUGCCAGUGAUAAGCUGGAGGAAGGUGGGGAUGACGUCAAGUCCUCAUGGCCCUUACGUGUUGGGCUACACACGUGCUACAAUGGUAUUUACAAUAGGAAGCAAGAUGGCGACGUCAAGCAAAUCCUUAAAAGAUACCUCAGUUCGGAUUGCACUCUGCAACUCGAGUGCAUGAAGCUGGAAUUACUAGUAAUCGUGGAUCAGCGUGCCACGGUGAAUGCGUUCCCGGGUCUUGUACACACCGCCCGUCACACCAUGGGAGUUGGUUCUACCUUAAGGCAAGGUUUAAAAUCCUUGACCACGGUAUAGUCUGCGACUGGGGUGAAGUCAUAACAAGGUAGCCGUA
rnacentral:rRNA from 1 species